rnacentral:rRNA from 1 species
UGAGGAAUCUUGGUCAAUGGGCGCAAUGCCUGAACCAGCCAAGUAGCGUGAAGGAAGACUGCCCUUAGGGUUGUAAACUUCUUUUAUAAGGGAAUAACGAUAGCAACGAGUUGCUAUUUGCAUGUACCUUACGAAUAAGGAUCGGCUAACUCCGUGCCAGCAGCCGCGGUAAUACGGAGGAUCCAAGCGUUAUCCGGAUUUAUUGGGUUUAAAGGGUGCGUAGGCGGGAAAGGAAGUCAGUUGUGAAAUUUUAUGGCUCAACCAUAAACUUGCAGUUGAAACUCUUUUUCUUGAGUACACAUGAGGUGGGCGGAAUUUGUGGUGUAGCGGUGAAAUGCAUAGAUAUCACAAGGAACUCCAAUUGCGAAGGCAGCUCACUGGGGUGUAACUGACGCUAAUG